CGAACGCUGAUAAAAUGGCGGCAGUCUGUUUCAAGCAGGUUAGUGUUAAUUCCACAAUCUGUUUCACCAGUUCCAACUAAACAGAACAAAAUGUCAAAUCGUUUCAGUUAAAAGAAAGGAGAACAGCUGAAAAUGUCAAAACAUUCUGUCUCCAAAAAGAACAAUAGGUUGUGUCUGGCUAGUGGUGCCAUGGUGUUAAACUGUGGCUGGCUUGCUAGCCUGGAGGUCGGGUGUUUGAUCCCUUCAUUGUCCGAGAAAGUUCAUCCAGAUUUUCCUGCAUGGUUCCCCCUUGUCAGUGAUGCAGGACAGGGGGGUCUGAAAAGGACAGAUGUCUAGUCGUUCGGAUGUUACGAAAAACCGAGGUCCCAUGUACACAUUGGUGUUAACGUAAAAGAUCCCUUGACAGUUGGAAUUCGAUACAACAGUAGGCCGUAGUGCGGAUGUCGGGGCAAAAUUUCCCUCAUAGCACACUGUAUGGUGUAUGCCCAGUUCGGAGCAGAACAGUAGGACGAUAAACCACAUUUCAUUUCACCUAAACAUUGGUUGUACAGGACUGAACCCAAACACUUUGAACAUACUGUACGUACUCUCUGUGGAAUAUCCUCUAUAAUUUAGUAUAAGUGACAUUAUUUUUAUCAACAGGAAGACACUUCAUUAUAAUACAUCAUUAUCCACCUGAGAUAUUCCACUUGAAAUCACAAACUAUAACCCUUAUUAAAGGAACUAAGUCGCUUAUAUUUUGGACCUAGAAAUUGACAAAAAUGGGUUGCAACGCAUAUAAUA